UCGACAAUGGGCAACUAGUCUCCUUUGACCACCUAAAACAAAUAGCACAUCUAACUCCCACAGACUUUUUCAGGUACUUGCAAAUUAGGGACUAUGUACAACAACCUCAGGUACUGCAGGCUGCCAAGAGACCACAGACUUUCUUUGAGAGGAUGUGCCUGAAAGAAACGGCUUAAUAACUAACCUAUAUACACAUAUAAGUUCAGAAACAAAGGAAUGGGGUACGCUAGCCUACACAGAAGCCUGGGAAAAAGAUAUAGGGGAAGUACUAGAGGGAGUAGAGUGGAGAGAAAUUUGGGAAGCAAACACAUCACUAUCUAUAUGCGUAACCCUCCAAAAACAGGCGUAUAAAACAAUGUUUAGGUGGUACACC